rnacentral:lncRNA from 1 species
GAAUGCUUGGGAAGAACUUUGUUACCCAAUGAAGCCUCCUGGUUCUCUAGUCCCUGGUAGCCUGUCCUGGUUGCCAGGUGCUUGUUUGCAUUCCAAGCUCCACAUUCCCCAGGGUCCAGUGUAGUCUUGUGUCUAAGCUGGUGUCUGGCCACCAAAGGCAGGCGUGCAGGGCCUUGGCUACUGCGCUAGGUCUGCUGAUGGCCACAAGCCUUUAGUCCCAGCUCUGCCUUAGCAAUGGGGGUGUCUGAAGGCUCAGGGGAUACACAGGUCCUCUAGGUUCCUGGGGAGAUGAUGACGGAGUCUUGCUGUGUUGCCAGGCUGGAGUGCAGUGGCGCGAUCUCGGCUCACUGCAACCUCUGCCUCCCACGUUCAAGCGAUUUUCCUGCCUCAGCCUCCCGAGCAGCUGGGAUUACAGGCACGCACCGCAAUGCCCAGAGUGAGAGUUUCGACCAGGAGUGGAUACUGAGGAGAGCAAAGAUCACCUGGUGCUCAUCAAGCCGGACUUCCAGAGGCAAAGCUCCUUAACUGAAGAAUUCAGAAAUGAUCCAGUGCAGGACCCUGAGAAGCCCACAGGAGAAGAAGAAUCCCUAAAGUGAGAGAAACCUGGGCCCUUGAGUGACUGCAUGGAGAAGAGCCCCAUCAUUGACUCAUGUUAGACUGUGACUGAAAAAUAAACCUCUUUUGUGUUAAGCCACUGAGUUCUGUGGUUAUGUGUUGCACCAAUUUUCCUAUUUUGGCUAACAUAAUUAUUCUACCUAUUUUUCAGAAGGGAAAAAUGAGGAUUGCAGAGAUGAUGGUUGAUCAGGAGUCUGGUUCAAUGUAAUGCUCUAAGCUGAUUCUCUGAGCUCUGUCCUCCUUAUGUCAUAUUGAUCCUCAUGUCUGCUGCAAUUCCAGUCCUCCUUCCAACAAACUCUUUUGAAAUUCCCUCUCCCGGCACAGGAAAGUUUUGAUUUCACUGACGGACUUAGUUUAGGUUAUUUGCACCCUUGAAUUUGUCUCUGUGGUUAGGGAGAUGCUAUGCCCUGAUUGUCUUGGGUUAUCACCUUAAC